CCACGGACGAACGCUGGGCGGCGUGCCUAAUACAUGCAAGUCGAGCGGAGUUUUGAAAAGCUUGCUUUUCAAAACUUAGCGGCGGACGGGUGAGUAACACGUGGGCAACCUGCCCUUGAGACGGGGAUAACUCCGGGAAACCGGAGCUAAUACCGGAUAACACAUAUCUUCGCAUGAGGAUAUGUUAGAAGGUGGCUUUUAGCUACCACUCAAGGAUGGGCCCGCGGCGCAUUAGCUAGUUGGUGAGGUAACGGCUCACCAAGGCGACGAUGCGUAGCCGACCUGAGAGGGUGAUCGGCCACACUGGGACUGAGACACGGCCCAGACUCCUACGGGAGGCAGCAGUAGGGAAUCUUCCGCAAUGGACGAAAGUCUGACGGAGCAACGCCGCGUGAGUGAUGAAGGUUUUCGGAUCGUAAAGCUCUGUUGUUAGGGAAGAACAAGUACCUGUUGAAUAAGCAGGUACCUUGACGGUACCUAACCAGAAAGCCACGGCUAACUACGUGCCAGCAGCCGCGGUAAUACGUAGGUGGCAAGCGUUGUCCGGAAUUAUUGGGCGUAAAGCGCGCGCAGGCGGUUCCUUAAAGUCUGAUGUGAAAGCCCACGGCUCAACCGUGGAGGGUCAUUGGAAACUGGGGAACUUGAGUGCAGAAGAGGAGAGCGGAAUUCCACGUGUAGCGGUGAAAUGCGUAGAGAUGUGGAGGAACACCAGUGGCGAAGGCGGCUCUCUGGUCUGUAACUGACGCUGAGGCGCGAAAGCGUGGGGAGCGAACAGGAUUAGAUACCCUGGUAGUCCACGCCGUAAACGAUGAGUGCUAAGUGUUAGAGGGUUUCCGCCCUUUAGUGCUGCAGCAAACGCAUUAAGCACUCCGCCUGGGGAGUACGGUCGCAAGACUGAAACUCAAAGGAAUUGACGGGGACCCGCACAAGCGGGUGGGAGCAUGGUGGUUUAAUUCGAAGCAACGCGAAGAACCUUACCAGGUCUUGACAUCCUCUGCUACUUCUAGAGAUAGAAGGUUCCCUUCGGGGACAGAGUGACAGGUGGUGCAUGGUUGUCGUCAGCUCGUGU
rnacentral:rRNA from 2 species